CCUGCCCCUAGAAGUGUUGCUUCUUGGCUGCUGGGUCACAUGUGUGUCAGUAGGUGACAGAAAGGAGAGAGGCUAUGUCUACGCUCAGUGUUCUGACCUGUGAAUAUCUGAUCAGUAGCACAACAGU